rnacentral:misc_RNA from 1 species
UGCAAUGAAACUGUUGGUGG